AGAGUUUGAUCAUGGCUCAGAUUGAACGCUGGCGGCAGGCCUAACACAUGCAAGUCAUGAGCGGCAAGCACAACGUAACGUUUACUUAUGAGGUGGCGAAGCGGCUGGACGGGUGAGUAAUGCCAUAGGGAUCUGCCCAGUCGAGGGGGAUAACAGUAUGGAAACGACUGCUAAUACCGCAUACGCCCUACG
rnacentral:rRNA from 1 species